rnacentral:rRNA from 1 species
GACGAACGCUGGCGGCGUGCCUAAUACAUGCAAGUAGAACGCACAGUUUAUACCGUAGCUUGCUACACCAUAGACUGUGAGUUGCGAACGGGUGAGUAACGCGUAGGUAACCUGCCUGGUAGCGGGGGAUAACUAUUGGAAACGAUAGCUAAUACCGCAUAAUAUUAAUUAUUGCAUGAUAAUUAAUUGAAAGGUGCAAUUGCACCACUACCAGAUGGACCUGCGUUGUAUUAGCUAGUAGGUGAGGUAACGGCUCACCUAGGCGACGAUACAUAGCCGACCUGAGAGGGUGAUCGGCCACACUGGGACUGAGACACGGCCCAGACUCCUACGGGAGGCAGCAGUAGGGAAUCUUCGGCAAUGGACGAAAGUCUGACCGAGUAACGCCGCGUGAGUGAAGAAGGUUGUCGGAUCGUAAAGCUCUGUUGUAAGAGAAGAACGGGUGUGAGAGUGGAAAGUUCACACUGUGACGGUAUCUUACCAGAAAGGGACGGCUAACUACGUG